UGGGCGGCCGAGUUGAGCUUGCGCCAAAAUGAACCGAUGGCGGCGAAUUUUCUGCGGUCGGUCGGUUGGUGACUUGGUGUUGCGUUGUGGUGGUGCGUUGCGUAGGGCGAGGUAGGUAGCGGUGUGUGGGUGGGGCGUGUGCAGAGACGCACGCAUGCACGGCUCGAGACUGGCCUCCUGCCUGUCUGCCUGCUGCCCGUACCACGUGGUGGUGGCCCGCUGGGAGGACGGCGUGGUGUAGGUGUUGCUCCUCUUCCUCGUCCGCCUGCUCUACUUCCUCGAGGCCCCGGUCGACCCCCUGAUGCGCACGGCGGUGGCCUUCGUGCCGGUGCUGCGCGAGGAGGAGUACGAGCGGCCGAAGCGGAAGCAGAGGACGGACGAGGAGGAGGAGGGGUUGUCGGGGAAGAGGCGGCGGUACCUGCUGGAGGACGUCGAGCCGGCGUGCGCGGCCACGCUGGUCCUCUACCGCGGGUGCGGCGGCCGCGGGACGCGCCCCCACGGGUUGCCGUGGCAGACGACGCUGGCGCCGAGCGGGGCGCGGCUGGAGACGCAGUACGCGCCCCUGCAGGCGUGGGUGCGGCGGAGGUUGUGGGAGAAGGACGAGCGGCGGCGGCGGAGCCGGCUGCUCGCGUAGGCGGGGAUGUGGGCGUUCACCCUCAGGUCGCAGUACUCGUGGUAGCUGCUCGACGCGGAGGCCCGGCACGGGCAGGGGCUGGGGCUCCCGCGACGUGCGACGCUGCAGGCCGUGCUGCAGGGGCGGCAGCAGAAGAGGUGGCCGCCGAUGUGGCCGUUGCACAUGGUGCUCAAGUUGCUGCCGUAGUAGGGCGAGAUGUAGUGGCGCGCGGCCAUGUUGUCCUUCCACCACAAGCAGUACGAGCUCAUGGUGCUGACCACCUACUGGUUCAUGCCGGUGUAGCAGCUCGUCGAGAGGCUGAAGGGCGGCCAGCUGAAGAGGUUGCUGUGCGCGUGCGUGACGAAGGGCCUCCGGCAGCAGCCGGACGCGUAGGUGCUGCUCGAGCGGUAGCUGCGCAGCGCCUACGGCCCUUCGGUCCCGUAGGCCCUGAAGGCCGUGUACGAGCUGCUGCGCGUGGCGCCGGCGUAGUUGCGCUAGUAGCUCCUCCUCUUGCGGCGCGGUGUUCGUCGCGGCCGCCGCCGCCGUGAUCGCUUCUUUGCGUAGUGCCUCGUCGAGCGCCAGCUGCUGUCCGGCGCCGACCACUAGCACAGGGCCUUGCCCAGCGCGCGCUAGCUCUUGCUCAACCUCGACCGCGCACGCCGCCGCUCCCGGCCCAAGGCCCACUGGCACGAGGCCGGCGCGGGCCUGUGCCUCGAGCGCGUCUACAUGGCGCACGACUUGCCGAGCCUGCACUACCACCCGCACGUGCCGCGCCGGUACUGCGUGAAGGAGAAGUACGCGGGCCCCAGGCGGAAGUAGGUCCACCACGGCGAGCCCUGACUGACCCGGCGGCUCUUGAUGAUGCCGCUCGGCCGCGCCGCCGAGCCGGACGUGAUGUAGGGGAUGUUCUAGGACGGCAGGCUCUCGAGCGACAAGGCCGCUAUGCGGUCCCUGCUGGGGCACGAGUGGCUGGGCCAGCGGCAGUUGCGGUUCCCUACCGUCCAGUGGUUCUUCCACAUGGAGCUGCCCGUCUUGCACGCCGAGCUGUACCGCGCCAAGGCCGCUGCCGACGCGCUCCGGAUGCUAGUGACCCGCCGCGUCGCCGCCGCGGUCGUCUCGGUUGGCAACAUCGUACCCGCCACAAGUAUGAGGUAUGCAAAAAGAAACAAGAAAAAAAAAAGGAAGGUCUCUCUUCUACGUACUAUGACAUAUCUUUUUUAUAAAAACAACAAGUGCUCUCAGAUUCAUUUGCGGAGGCACCUUCUGCGAGACGACGACGAGGUGGUUGUCAGUC
rnacentral:rRNA from 1 species